CGCGCGCCCGCCCGCCUGCCCUGCACACACCCGCGCAGGCUAUGCGCAGACUGGUGCGAGUAGGGCGGCCCCUGCUGCAGUGAGCCUUGAAGCCUAGAGCACCGGCCCUGGUGGAGCCGCCGCAGGUGCAGAUCUUGGCGGUAGUAAAAAUUCAAAACGCCCGCCCGCCUGCCCUGCACACACCCGCGCAGGCUAUGCGCAGACUGGUGCGAGUAGGAGGGCCCCUGCUGCAGUGAGCCUUGAAGCCUAGAGCACCGGCCCUGGUGGAGCCGCCGCAGGUGCAGAUCUUGGCGGUAGUAGCAAAAAUUCAAAGGAGAAGGCCGAAGUGGAGAAGGGUUCCAUGUGAAGAGCAGUGGAACAUGGGUCAGUCGGUCGUGAGAGAUGGGCGAGCGCGGUUCCAAAGGGACCGGCAAUGGCCUCCCUUGCCCUCAGCAGAUCGAAAGGGAGUCGGGUUCAGAUCCCCGAAUCCCGAGUGGCGGAGACGGGCGCUGCGAGGCGUCCAGUGCGGUAACGCAACCGAUCCCUCCCGGAGAAGCCGGCGGGAGCCCCAGGGAGAGUUCUCUUUUCUUUGUGAAGGGCAGGGCGCCAAGGAAUGGGUUCUCCUCCAGAGAGAGGGGCUCCUGCCUUGGAAAGCGUCACGCUACCGGCGACGUCCGGUGAGCUCCGGCUGGCCCUUGAAAAUCCAGCGGAGAGGGCGGAAAUCUCGAGCCAGGCCGUACCCAUAUCCACCGGGGGUGGGGUGGGGCGGGAUGGGGGGUUCGGGACGAGGACUUGAGGGCGCGGCACCCCCGGCG
rnacentral:ncRNA from 1 species